rnacentral:rRNA from 1 species
CUUGAAUUUUAUAAGAGGUCCAGCCUGCCCAGUGACUCUGUUCAACGGCCGCGGUAUCCUAACCGUGCGAAGGUAGCGUAAUCACUUGUUCUUUAAAUGAGGACUAGUAUGAAUGGCACUACGAGGGUUAUACUGUCUCCUUUUUCUAAUCAGUGAAAUUAAUUUUCCCGUGAAGAAGCGGGAAUAUGACUAUAAGACGAGAAGACCCUAUGGAGCUUUAAACAACCCAGCAAUUACUUCUAAAAAUUUUAAAUUUCAGAAUAUUCAUUUUUUUAAGUAAUAUGUCUGCAAGUUUUUGGUUGGGGUGACCAUGGAGAAUAACUUAACCUCCAUAUUGAAUGAACUCCAUUCUAAGCUGAAAAUUACCAAUUAAAGCAUCAACACACUGACAUUUAUUGACCCA